CCUACGGGAGGCAGCAGUGGGGAAUUUUGGACAAUGGGCGAAAGCCUGAUCCAGCAAUGCCGCGUGCAGGAUGAAGGUCUUCGGGUUGUAAACUGCUUUUGUACGGAACGAAACGGUUCGCCUUAAUACGGUGGGCUAAUGACGGUACCGUAAGAAUAAGCACCGGCUAACUACGUGCCAGCAGCCGCGGUAAU
rnacentral:rRNA from 1 species